GACGAACGCUGGCGGCGUGCCUAAUACAUGCAAGUAGAACGCUGAAGGAGGAGCUUGCUUCUCUGGAUGAGUUGCGAACGGGUGAGUAACGCGUAGGUAACCUGCCUGGUAGCGGGGGAUAACUAUUGGAAACGAUAGCUAAUACCGCAUAAUAGCAGUUAUUGCAUGAUAACUGUUUGAAAGGUGCAAUUGCACCACUACCAGAUGGACCUGCGUUGUAUUAGCUAGUUGGUGGGGUAACGGCUCACCAAGGCGACGAUACAUAGCCGACCUGAGAGGGUGAUCGGCCACACUGGGACUGAGACACGGCCCAGACUCCUACGGGAGGCAGCAGUAGGGAAUCUUCGGCAAUGGACGGAAGUCUGACCGAGCAACGCCGCGUGAGUGAAGAAGGUUUUCGGAUCGUAAAGCUCUGUCGUAAGAGAAGAACGAGUGUGAGAGUGGAAAGUUCACACUGUGACGUAUCUACCAGAA
rnacentral:rRNA from 1 species